AUCCAAUAAGCAGCUGGCUGUCGGGUCACGGAGCCGAGGGAUUGGAACAAGAGCAGAUUAGUAAAAGCUUCAAUGGAACCCUUCAGAUAUGUUGGGGCAGAGAAUGAAAGGAUCUGAGGAGCAGUCGAGCUCCUACGUGAGACGCUCGGGAUGCAGCCGCAGAGCAUCGAGAAGAGGAAAUCGUUUGCUGCGGAGCCGCCUGCAGUCGUCUCACAGGGAGCGGAAGCCACAAGUUCAGCGCUGAGAAGAAAGUUGGUGACACAGGAAGAGGUGACGAGAGAUCAAGGUGAACAGAAAGAAGCAGCAAUGUUUCCCUAACGAUCAGAGAUAAAUAACGAAUGAAAACAUCAAGAGCAGAUAAUAACAACUCCUUAAUUAUCUAACAGGGAGCAGUCCUAAGAGGGGUUUAUCUUUAUUGGUUCAAUUAUAUCAUGUGACACAUACAGAUAGCAGCCAGUUAGGGGG